AUGAGUGUUCAGAUGCUGUUUCCCGAUGUUCCGACUCCCCGAUCUGUUGUGCUGCUUCCAUUAAAAAGUCAGUUAAAAGUGCAGAUGGCUCAAGUUGUUGGUCUGAGUGGUCAGAGAGAAGAAGGUCACUGGAGUGAGUCGACCCCGCCUUUUGAAAGGGACAAGGAUAUGAAUCCUCCUCACCAACCGGAGCCAAAAGGGCCACCACAGGUCCCUCUAGCUGCUGGGGGCCGGUGAAACCUGUUUGUCGGUCCACCUCAGCAGGAACAGUAACCCGUGUUGGCCCCUCCAGAGGGGGCAGGAUGUCGUUACAGUGCUUCUCUUUUCGGGCUUUUUUAGUUGGUCUUUGUUCGAGAGGAGGGGGUUCUGUCAUUUGAAUGAGGGAGAGAUCUGGUACCUGUAUGGGCUGGGGUUCUACCUCUCGUGUGUUUUCUACCUCCUGAGCAAGAAGGGGUUCAAUAGCCUGUAUGGGCUGGAGCGUUUCUUGGAGGCCUGCCGCAGGUAUUUCCUCAUCAAGUGGCCAAUCCCCUCUAACUAAUAAACCCGGAGAAGUCUGAAUCUCAAUAGUAUGCGAUAUAAUCUGGGGUCGAAUCAGUGGGUCAAUGGUGGUUAGUCGUGGUGGUGUUAUUGUGGUACCUGCAAACUGUGCAGUGGUAGUGACAGGUGCACGUGUUACUCGUGGUGGUAAAAGUUUGUCGUUAUUCCCGUCCCGUCUUUACUUUUAUUCUUUUUCUUCGCCCCCUUUCUUCCAGUGGGAGGCCUGUUUGGGCCUGCAACCAUCUCGUGACGUUCAGUGUUACUGGGAAAUCUAUCUGGACUUCUCACCAGUCUGGACUCUUCUUCAUGGAGUGAACUCUGUCUCGUCUGCACGAAAAUGUGCCUUUGGAUUUAGAGGAAAAUAAUGUCUGUUUGUUCCAUUCUGAGCUGGAGAGCUGCUGGAGAGUCUGAGUCUGUAGCGUGGAGUGCUUCUUUGUCUCACACGACCUCUAAAGACAUCCAUCCUAACAGUAUCUCAUGAAAUCCCAAAAAUAAAUCAGAUGAAUAAAUGUGAGUAAUCAAAAUAAAAAUAAAAAUAAAAAGGAGAACAAGCCUAUCGCGACGUUUCGGUAUAUAUAAUACCUUCUUCAGGCAGGCUUGUAUAUAAAUGUAAACAAAAAAAGGAGAAAAGAGGGAAAUAUUAUGUCUAUACAAUAAGAAGAUAUUUUAUAUUAUAUAAAAAUAUAUAUUUUAAAUGAAUCUGUCUAAAUAGUGUUCUUUUUUGAAAUUCAAUAUAACAGAGCGCUCGUCGUAUCUGCACGUUCAACAAGUGAAGUGAGAGAGUGAGGCGCGCAAAGCGCGCCCCCCUUAUAUAGACUGCCGUUGAAAAAAAAGUUUUUUUGGAAAACCGGCUAAAUAAAGCUCCAAACGGUCCAAAUAAAAUUCCAAAUCGGCGAAUCGUCAGUAAAGAAGCAAAAGAACAGAUGCACAAAAAGAUUUCUGUGAGAAAAACUUAAAUUAAAGAGUUGCACGAUGUUUUAGUGUAAUUAGGUCACUCUCUCCUCCGCACACGGUCGAGCAAGAGCGGAGAAACAAUGAAACAGCAUAAUCCACGAGCGAAAAUGGCAAUAUAAAAUCGAAUUCUUGUUACAAUUAUACAGGAAUGGUAUGUACAUGUAGCAAAGGUUGUGCUUGAUCGUGAUGAUGUGAAAAUAUUUUGUAUCCGUGUUGUAGUGAUGAUGUGAAAAUAUUUUUGUAUCCGUGUUGUAUAUGGUGUUAUUAAUUUUUAAAGGGCUCCACUCAUGCCGACGAUAUCGUAUGACGUCAUGACCCUCGUUCGUCGUGUGGAAUGUUGUUUUUUUCACAGAAAUCUUAGUCCUUUAUACAGGAAAAUGAAGAUAAUAGGAAUUGAACAAAAGAAGAGCACUUAUAAUUCCUUUAUCAGUACAUAUACUACUCAAAAACAGUGUGGAAAACAUUUAAAAACUGUAAAUCAUGUGAAAAGAAUUAAAUAAAUAAAUUAUAUGUAAAAGAGAAUCUCUGUAGUAUUUUUUAUGUUAAGUAGUGAUCAAAUCUGUAAAAUAUUGUAAUGUAAGAGUCCAAUAUGAGUGUCCAGAUCAUGAAAAAAAUACUUAUUUAAGCUUUUCAAUGAAAUCUUUAUAUUUUAUAUGAUCAAAGAACACAAACAUAUCGAUUUAUGGAAUAUUUAUUCAUUUAUUUAAUCAAUAUACUCUCUCGGGUCAAAUAAUUGUAUCAUAUUUAUUUGUAUGUGUAUAUUUAUGAAUACAUUCCCUUCACAUGUCAGAAAAAAGCAGGUUUUCCAGUACAUCUUUUUAUUAUAAUAAUGAAAAUAAAUAUAUGAAAUCUUUUUAAAUCACACGGACUACACUCUUUGGGUCAUGUUUAUUUAUGUUUCUCCUCUGUGCGUGCAAAUAACAAGAUUCCUUUGUCUUUAGUCAGUGCUUAUAGACCACCUGCAUACAAACAACUGGUGUGUUACAGUUUAAAUGAUUUGUAAAAUAUUUUCCAACACACUGUUCUAUUCUGCUGCAACCCAAAAGCUCUAGAAUCCCUUCAUGAUUUUUGUAUAAUGAGGAUAUCAUGAAUAAAAGGUGAAUGUGACUUACUGAAAUACUUCCACACUGCUUGCGAUCUUAUAGGAAAAACAGAGGGGCCCGUGCACUGCAAACAAGGCCCGACACGGACCAGUCCAAAGCUCAGAGACGGAGGCGCUGGCUGGUUAGGGGAAUGAAACGUCCAAGGUUCAAACCUAAGGUCUGAACCUGGUUGUGCUCGGUCCAUCCGUCCACUGACCACUAAAGACCCAUCCAAGCCAGGCCAAGUUCACAAGCACGCAUCCCCUCUCAUCCUUACAUCUGAUUGUGGGCACGACCUCCCGAUCAAAAGCCUCCCAAUGUGACCCAGGGUUAAGCAGCCCAGGGUUAGAGUGAUUAGGGUUUGGCCCAGGGUUACGCCACAGUGGUUACCAAUGGUUAAGUUUAGGGCCAGGGUGGGUAUAGCCACCGGGGUUACUAACGGGUAGGUUUAGAGCCAGGGUGUGUAUAGCCAUAGGAGUUACUAACUGGUAGGUUUAGGGCCAGGGUUGGUAUAGCCGCUGGGGUUACUAACAGGUAGGGUUUAGAUUCAGGGUGGGUAUAGCCAUAGGAAUUACUAACGGGUAGGUAGGUUUAGGGCCGGUUGUGCUCGGUCCAUCGUCCACUGACCACUAAAGACCCAUCCAAGCCAGGCCAAGUUCACAAGCACGCAUCCCCUCUCAUCCUUACAUCUGAUUGUGGGCACGACCUCCCGACCAAAAGCCUCCCAAUGUGACCCAGGGUUAAGCAGCCCAGGGUUAGAGUGAUUAGGGUUUUUCCCAGGGUUACGCCACAGUGGUUACCAAUGGUUAAGUUUAGGGCCAGGGUGGGUAUAGCCACCGGGGUUACUAACGGGUAGGUUUAGAGCCAGGGUGUGUAUAGCCAUAGGAGUUAGGGUUAGGUUAGGGUUAGGAUUAGAAAAAAUCCAAGAGCUGAAGCACAGUCCAGCUCUGGUAAUGCACAGUCCUUCAAUACUCCUUCUGGCCGCUCUCCUGCCUCGGCCAAGGCCUGCCCCCACGGCCUAGGCCCACUACUUCACCACCAAUAUAUUUGGUCUUUUUAACGUUGAACCACAGAUAGUGAGAUUUUUAAUCGUAUAGACGAGUAUUGUUUUCAAUAAUAAAUGUUGUUUUUAUAUAAGGUUUUUAUAGUAUUUAUUAAUAUUUAUGGAUAAUACUUCUCCAUAUAAAUUAUUAGGGGUAGAAUGGGUAGGAUUAGGAUGGGUGGGGCUACAAUGAUGUAAUUUAUUAGGGGUAGAAUGGGUAGGAUUAGGAUGGGUGGGGCUAAAAUGAUGUGUCUUAGGGGUGGAAAUGGUAGGAUUAGGAUGGGUGGGGCUAAAAUGAUGUGUCUUAGGGGUGGAAAUGGUAGGAUUAGGAUGGGUGGGGCUAAAAUGAUGUGUCUUAGGGGUGGAAAUGGUAGGAUUAGGAUGGGUGGGGCUAAAAUGAUGUGUCUUAGGGGUGGAAAUGGUAGGAUUAGGAUGGGU
rnacentral:lncRNA from 1 species